CUUGAGCAUUAUGGUUAAAGGGAUGAAUUAUAUGGUAACCAUAUGCCAAUAAGUUCAUGAAUGUUGCUUUACAAUCAUUCGACCUAUCCGGACGUCAGAUCCCAUUGCUAGAUGGUCACUUCAAUUAGUACAAAAAUUUAUUUCGAUGCUACCGACUUAGGUUCGAACCUAUAGAGUCACACAUAUUAGAAGUUUCUCUCCGAUCAAAUGACUGAUUGAUGAUUAAGAAUCGUUCAAGGAUAAAAUCGUCAAUACGAUUGAUAAUUAACCUUGUGCAAUGAUUGCAAUAAAAUCAUUCGC
rnacentral:lncRNA from 1 species